GCAGCUCCAGUCGGCGGGGUCGCUGGGCGCUCGCGGCAUCGAGGACGCGAUCAUCGCGGCGGUCGGUGCUGCGUACGACUCGCUGGAGCGGCUC
rnacentral:tRNA from 1 species